rnacentral:rRNA from 1 species
AUUGAACGCUGGCGGCAGGCUUAACACAUGCAAGUCGAGCGGGGGAAGGUAGCUUGCUACCGGACCUAGCGGCGGACGGGUCAGUAAUGCUUAGGAAUCUGCCUAUUAGUGGGGGACAACAUCUCGAAAGGGAUGCUAAUACCGCAUACGUCCUACGGGAGAAAGCAGGGGAUCUUCGGACCUUGUGCUAAUAGAUGAGCCUAAGUCGGAUUAGCUAGUUGGUGGGGUAAAGGCCUACCAAGGCGACGAUCUGUAGCGGGUCUGAGAGGAUGAUCCGCCACACUGGGACUGAGACACGGCCCAGACUCCUACGGGAGGCAGCAGUGGGGAAUAUUGGACAAUGGGGGGAACCCUGAUCCAGCCAUGCCGCGUGUGUGAAGAAGGCCUUAUGGUUGUAAAGCACUUUAAGCGAGGAGGAGGCUACUCUAGUUAAUACCUAGGGAUAGUGGACGUUACUCGCAGAAUAAGCACCGGCUAACUCUGUGCCAGCCGCCGCAGUAA